GGGGUCGGUUCUGAGGUUGCAUAGAUGGUUGUUGCGGCAUCUGUACCUGCUGAGGCAUCUGCUGUGGCAUUUGCUGAGUCAUCUGCUGAGGCCAUUGCUGCUGGUACUGAGGAAAAGAGGGGACUUGGGGUGCUUGAUUCACCUGAGAUUGUGCUGGCUGUGGUGCCACCCUAGGGAUGUCCUGCAGUUGCUGUGUCCGGUAUUGAGGAUCAGAUGGCAGAUAUUGACUCUGAGGGUGUUGGGUUUGGGCAGUUGCAUUUGGUAACUGGGUUGAAGGCAAGUAAUAAGAUGGCGAUUGGGUAAUAUUCUGUGGUGGGCUUUGUGUGGGUGCUGCCACAGGCUGUUGCUGCUCCACAGGUCUGGUGGAGAGUGCAGGCUGUGGGGCUACUUGAUGAGGUAAGGCAAGAGCCAAUUGCUGGUUAUGCACAUCUGACAUUUUGUCAGGCUUUUUGGGAUCAGAUGCAGGUGUUGCAGCUCUCUCCUCAUUUUGGGAAUGACUUGACGUAGAGGAUUCUUUCUGC
rnacentral:lncRNA from 1 species